rnacentral:piRNA from 1 species
UGAACUGGCUUCACAGUUGCAUACAAUGCUU